rnacentral:lncRNA from 1 species
CCUGAUUAUUACAACUCGUUAGUGACAUAUAGUUAUGUGAUAUAUGUUAUCUUUAACUCGUAUAUGCAUAUGUCUGAGUAUGUCUGAUACAUGUCUGUCGAUUUUUGGGUUGUAUCUAUGCAACUGUUCUUAUUUAUUUAGUGUCGGAUAUUCGUUGUAUUCGAUCACUGGUUAUGAUUAUAUUAUCUAACCCUCUGUUUUGUGUACUUGCUAAACCGUUAGGGGUUC